rnacentral:rRNA from 1 species
GAUAAACGCUGGCGGCGUGCCUAAUACAUGCAAGUCGAGCGAACAGACGAGGAGCUUGCUCCUCUGAUGUUAGCGGCGGACGGGUGAGUAACACGUGGAUAACCUACCUAUAAGACUGGGAUAACUUCGGGAAACCGGAGCUAAUACCGGAUAACAUGUUGAACCGCAUGGUUCAACAGUGAAAGACGGUCUUGCUGUCACUUAUAGAUGGAUCCGCGCCGCAUUAGCUAGUUGGUAAGGUAACGGCUUACCAAGGCAACGAUGCGUAGCCGACCUGAGAGGGUGAUCGGCCACACUGGAACUGAGACACGGUCCAGACUCCUACGGGAGGCAGCAGUAGGGAAUCUUCCGCAAUGGGCGAAAGCCUGACGGAGCAACGCCGCGUGAGUGAAGAAGGUCUUCGGAUCGUAAAACUCUGUUAUUAGGGAAGAACAAAUGUGUAAGUAACUAUGCACGUCUUGACGGUACCUAAUCAGAAAGCCACGGCUAACUACGUG